rnacentral:lncRNA from 1 species
GGAGAUUCCAUCUAAACCCCUGCUUUAGAUGCGGGCACUGCAGAGCCACUCCAAGUCAUUUGUUCCAAGACCAUGUGUUAAAAUAAGCCUAUUUGUUGAGUGGCAUGAGGUUAAAGUUAGUGUCUUAUUUAUGUUUGUGUCACUGGUACCCAACUAGCACAUAGCAUAUGGUAGGAGCACAGUGAACAUAGCAGGGAUAUACAUGCAGUGUUCGAGAUGCUGGCAGGGUGUGAACAGGGUACCAGAACGUGGGCUUUAUGUAGGAUUAGAGUUAGAAGCAUUAGCAGCUGAAAAAUGGCAGGAAAAUGAUGAAAUCUGCAUGAUGGAAAAAGGGGGUCAGAGAUCUAAAGUCUAGAUGAAUGCAGAAAACAGAGCACUCAGGAAUAAGCUUCUGCUCACCACUCCUGGAGAAGUGUGACAUACAUGCAAACUUCUGCACAUCUGGGACUGAAGAAGUAGAUCUUUCACCUUAAAAUUACCCACUGAUAUCCACUGGGAGAGAGAACUCUCUCUGAUUUGAUGCUCAGCAAGAGUGACUCUCAUCUCCAGGAUUGCUGGUGGGAGGUCAAGUCUUCCUCCCCAGGAUGCUGCACUUGGAUGGACUUGAAAGAGUUCUGUUUGUUCCAAGGCGCUGGGGCAGAGACCACGUCCUAAACCCAACUCAAAUGUGGGCUGUGCUCUUGGCUGAAGAAAAGCAUGGAAAGCAGUUGGGGACCUGCAUCCCCAAGACUGUCAGCCCUUCUCCAGGGCUAGCAACAAGCAGAGUGUAGCAGUGAGAAGAUGCUCUUGGCAGGCUCCAGAUAGCUGUGCCCUCAGCCCAGGAGGACUCAGCCAAUGAAGACUCAGCUAAUGAAAGCUCAGCAUGGAGGUGGCAAAGGGCUGCAGCCCCACCAAACUCUUUGCCUCCAGGCGCUGUGGUGGUGAAGAACUGAAAUACACAAACCUUGGGGCUUCCCCUUGUCCCUGAAACUGCAGAAGAUGCUGGCUCGGGAGAGCCCAGGUGAGAAAGCUGCUGCAGGAGCCAGAAACUUUGGCAAAGACUCUUUCUUUGCAAGUAAGAAAGCUAGUUGGGAAAGAGGACCAACUGUUCCUUCUAAAUUCCCAGGGAGUGGAGGGUACGUGAGGCCCUGUGAUUCAUUGGCCAGGAGUAUCUGCUCCAGCUGCCAGGCCAGAGUGAUCAAUCCAAAAGUGCUUCUGAAAAUGAGGCCAGACCCACAUUAAUGAAGCCUGAUUGCCUCAGAAUUAUUGUCGGAUUAAUUAGCAGCUUUGCCAGUAGCCCAUGUGUUCAGGGUCAGUAACAAUUUAUGGUGAGUCACAUUUAAGUAAUUUCAUUCAAUUUAACCAGCAUUUGCUGCACCUACUAAGCACAGAGUUUUAGGCAAACCUAAUGUAAGAACAGGGUCUGAACUGGACUUCCAAUGCCAAGGAUUCUAGGCCUAGAUCUGCCGUAUACAAGUCAUUUACCAGUAGGAAAAAAAUCACUUUGUCUUUCUGGCCUCAGUUUCCCCAUUUGUAAAAAAAAAAAAAAAAAGGUGGGAUGGAAUUGACUCAAUAGUUGGUCAGUUUUCUCCAAUAUCAGUGAGGUAGGAGGUGGAGCUCUACUCCAGAGACAGGGCUUGGACACCAGAUCAGAUUGAGGAGUAGCUAAAAAUGGGCCAGGGUGAAAGCAGCUUUAAAUCAGACACACCCACCAGUGUGUCAUGUCAAUUUACUGUUGGCAUGGCAACACCUAGGAAUUACUGCCCUUUUCCAUGGCAAUGACCCAAUGACUCAAAAGUUAGUACCCUUUCCCUAGAAAUUUCUGCAUAAACUGCCUCUUAAUCUUCAUGCAAUUAAAAGUGGGUAUAAAUAUGACUGCAAAACUGUCCUGAGCUACUACUCUCUGCCUAUGAGGCAGCCCUGCUCUGCAGGAGCAGUCACGGAGCUAUAACACUGCCUCUUCAAUACAGCUGUUUUCUUCUACCUCUGGCUUGCCCUUGGAUUCCUUCCUGUGCAAAGCCAAGAACCCUCACAGGCUCCAUGUUGGGGCUUGCUUUUUGAGAGCCUGAAAUGUAAAAUUAGAUAAGACACAUACAUACAAAAGGAAAAUUCAUUAAUUCCAUGAAUGUGUUUAUCCACAAAUAUUUACUGAUCAGUUCCUACUAGGUUCCAGACACUAUACAAAAUAAUGUAAGAUAAGCUUACCUUCAAACACAUACAGUCUACUGGGGAAGACCAUGAACAAAUGCACAGUUGGAGCAUAGGCACAGAGCAGGGAGCUUUUGAAUUAGAGGGAGGGUAGCAAAGUUGUGCCAGAGGAAGUAACAUCGUACUGAGAAAUAAAAAAGAGAUGAAAGGCAUCUCAUCAAAGAGUAUAGAAUUUAAUAAGACAUAGAGUCAUGAUAAAAGUAUGUUGGGGGAAUGAAGGUGUAUUCUGUGAGAAUAAUAACGAAUGUGGCAGGAAAACUGCAUGAGAGCUAGGUUAUAGGAGAACAUUUUGUUUGGAAUUAAAUUCUGGAAGCCAAGUGAAUCUACUGAAGGAAUAUGACAUGACAUGGUCAGAUUUUGAUUCUACGGUAGUCUAGAAGCAGAGAGGAAGAUAAAUUGUUGAGGGAAGAUGUUAAAGACAAAGAAGCCCAUCAGGAGGCUUCUACAAUUAUCUAGACAAGGGAUGGUGCUGAUCUCACCUAAGACAGUAAAGCUAGAGAGAAUAAAGGUGAUACAAGCAAUGUUUCAAUAGCGGAUAUUGUAAUUCUUGGUGACUGAUUAAAUAUGGGAGAUCCAUAGUGUUG